rnacentral:rRNA from 1 species
CCUACGUGUGGCAGCAGUGAGGAAUAUUGGUCAAUGGGCGCGAGCCUGAACCAGCCAAGUAGCGUGAAGGAUGACUGCCCUACGGGUUGUAAACUUCUUUUAUAAAGGAAUAAAGUGAGGCACGUGUGCCUUUUUGUAUGUACUUUAUGAAUAAGGAUCGGAUAACUCCGUUCCAGCAGCCGCUGUAAUACGGAGGAUCCGCGCGUUAUCCGGAUUUAUUGGGGUUAAAGGGAGCGUAGAUGGGUUGUUAAGUCAGUUGUGAAAGUUUGCGGCUCAACCGUCAAAUUGCAAUUGAUACUGGCAGUCUUGAGUACAGUUGAGGUAGGCGGAAUUCGUGGUGUAGCGGUGAAAUGCUUAGAUAUCACGAAGAACUCCGAUUGCGAAGGCAGCUUACUAAACUGCCACUGACAUUGAUGCUCGAAAGUGUGGGUAUCAAACAGGAUUAGAUACCCCAGUAGUC